rnacentral:lncRNA from 1 species
CUCACAGUAGGUACCAGCUCAUGGGUUAGCUAGUGGUCACUUAUGACCGUAAGAAUCAUUGUCAUGACUAGGGGUAGCAUCAGGUCGUGACAAAACUUGGUAUCAGAUCCUAAGGUUUUAUAGUGUCCUAGAGUGUUUGAAAGCCGCGUUAGGUAGAGUUUUGUGCAUGGGUGUGAAGCGCGCCACACUUAUGGACAAGAGGCUACGCAAUAUUUUAGGAAAAGUUUC